UGCCUAGUAGCCAAGCGGUAAGGCAUCGGACUCUGACUCCGACACUUCAUAGGUUCGAAUCCUAUCUAGGCAG
rnacentral:tRNA from 1 species